rnacentral:hammerhead_ribozyme from 1 species
AUCCGGCUGACGAGUCCCAAAUAGAACGAAACGCACUUCCUGGAU